GUCUACAGCCAUACCACUCUGAACACGCCUGAUCUCGUCUGAUCUUGGAAGCUAAGCAGGGUUGGACCUGGUUAGUACUUGGAUGGGACACAAACCUAAUUCUUUCCAUGAUUCUGGUCACAAACC
rnacentral:rRNA from 1 species